rnacentral:rRNA from 1 species
CGAUAACGAACGAGACCUCGGCCCUUAAAUAGCCCGGUCCGCAUUUGCGGGCCGCUGGCUUCUUAGGGGGACUAUCGGCUCAAGCCGAUGGAAGUGCGCGGCAAUAACAGGUCUGUGAUGCCCUUAGAUGUUCUGGGCCGCACGCGCGCUACACUGACAGUAACAUUUAGUAUACCUCCACUGACAAGUUGGGGCAAUCUCGUGAAAUGCUGUCGUGUUUGGGAUAGUCCCUUGCAAUUAUUGGACUUGAACGAGGAAUUCCUAGUAAGCGCCAGUCAUCAACUUGUGCUGAUUAUGUCCCUGCCCUUUGUACACACCGCCCGUCGCUACUACCGGAUUGAAUGGC